rnacentral:lncRNA from 1 species
GGUGGGCUUGGGCUGGUGACGCGUGCGCCGGCCGGCCGCCGAGGGGCUACCGUUCUGCCUCCGACCGGUCGUGUGUGGGUUUACUCGGAGGUGCUUUGCCUCUGAAGAAAAGAGAAAUACUAGGCUUUAGAAUUUCACCAUAUGAAUUUUGGGAGAGAGGAGCACAGUUCAGCCCAUAACUAACACACGACGGAAUGAAGUUGAUAAUAGUGAGACCUUGUUGGUACAAGACUAUGUAACAUAACCUGCGCUUCUCAACAAAGAAUUGCUUUUCUGACUUCUGCACUCAACUACUCAACAUGAAGGCAAUAAGAAUGAAGACCUCUAUGUAUAAUAAUUGACUUCCACUUAAUAAAUAAGGUUACUUGGUACACUGGUCGACAAAACCUUGAAAUGUUGAUGUUUAAGGGCUGUUGAUUGCUGGCAGCAAAGAAGUCCAACUGUGCUGGUACCCGAGAUAGCGUCUCCACAUUUUCUUCCAGGAUCAUCACCUUUGUUCUAAAUAGCUCCCACAUAGUGUGAACAGAAGUCAUAUGUUUUAGAUUUUCUGCCUUGGCACCCAGGAAACCAGUAUGAUUGAGUAAACAUAUUAAACUUCCUCUGCAUUUCCAGCCUGAACAGAUGUUGAGUACAAGCUGAUCCACCUACGUUCAACCUGAGAGAGUCCACAUCCACAGACUGUUUCAUUUCCCUUUUUCAAUUUACAUAGAAGCAUAGAUUCUUGCUGGCAUAUACAAAUGCGCCAUUUAAGGCAAUCAAAAAUGGUUCCACAUCUCAUCUGAUUUCCACAAUUGUUGCUGUAACGAUGGACUACUGAGGAGAGAGACAAUUUCUCUGGCACAUCUUCCCACAUUUUAGCAACAUGUUCAUGGAGAGCCAAUAUUCAGUAAUUACAGCCCAAUUCCUCACAAUUUCACAAUUCGCUAACAAUAUGCAUUUUCACAAUGUAAAGCUGAUUUUCCUUUAACCAAAUCAAACAUGAAAAGAUAGCUGCAUGCAAUGGGCAAUCUAGAUCAUUAGAAGAUUGAUGUAAAAUUAGAGGACACUGAGACUGGAAUAGAUUGCAAACUUCAGGGAGCUCAGAAAACUUGUAAACUCUACAUUUUGAGGAAAUAUGUUGUCGAUGCUUUUGCAACUCUAUGCAGUAACUUAACAAAUAAAGCCUUAAAGUAAC